GCCGGGAGUGAUGGUUCAUGCCUGUAAUCCCAGCUACUCAGGAGGCUGAGGCAGGAGAAUCGCUUGAACCUGGGAUGCGGAGGCUGCAGUGAGCCAAGAUCAUGCCACUGCACUCUACCCUGGGCAACAGAGUGAGACUCUGUCUCAA
ensembl:misc_RNA Metazoa_SRP Metazoan signal recognition particle RNA